rnacentral:rRNA from 1 species
CCCUUAGAUGUUCUGGGCCGCACACGCGCUACACUGAAGGAGGCAGCGUGUACUCCUGGAUCGAAAGAUUUGGGUAACCCGCGAAUCUCCUUCGUGCUAGGGAUUGAGGUUUGCAAUUAUCCUUCAUGAACGAGGAAUUCCCAGUAAGUGCAAGUCAUCAGCUUGCAUUGAUUACGUCCCUGCCCUUUGUACACACCGCCCGUCGCACCUACUGAUUGGAUGACUCGGUGAAAAAUUGGGACUGUGAAGAACACUGCUUAAUUGCGGCGUUUUUUAUGGGAACUUUUUUAAACCUCGUUAUCUAGAAGAAGGUGAGGUCGUAACA